GGACCUUUAGCUCAGCUGGUUAGAGCAGACGGCUCAUAACCGUCCGGUCGCAGGUUCGAGUCCUGCAAGGUCCA
rfam:Jeotgalibacillus malaysiensis strain D5, complete genome.